rnacentral:rRNA from 1 species
UACGGGAGGCAGCAGUGAGGAAUAUUGGACAAUGGGUGGAAGCCUGAUCCAGCCAUCCCGCGUGCAGGAAGACGGCCCUAUGGGUUGUAAACUGCUUUUAUCUGGGGAUAAACCUACUUACGUGUAAGUAGCUGAAGGUACCAGAAGAAUAAGCACCGGCUAACUCCGUGCCAGCAGCCGCGGUAAU